UCCGGUUUGUCACCGGCAGUCUCCCAUGAGUCCCCAACUGAAUGCUGGCAACAUGGAACGGGGGUUGCGCUCGUUGCGGGACUUAACCCAACAUCUCACGACACGAGCUGACGACAGCCAUGCACCACCUGUGAAGGUGUCCCGAAGGAAAGCCAUGUUUCCACGGCGGUCACCUACAUGUCAAGCCCAGGUAAGGUUCUUCGCGUUGCGUCGAAUUAAACCACAUGCUCCGCUGCUUGUGCGGGCCCCCGUCAAUUCCUUUGAGUUUCAGUCUUUCGACCGUACUCCCCAGGCGGAGUGCUUAAUGCGUUUGCUGCAGCACUAAAGGGCGGAGUCGACACCGCCCACACCUAGCAUCCAUCGUUUACGGCGUGGACUAC
rnacentral:misc_RNA from 1 species